rnacentral:tRNA from 1 species
GUUUGUGUGGCCUAGUGGUAUGGUUCUCGUCUAGGGUGCGAGAGGUCUCGAGUUCAAUUCUCGGCACAGCCC